UACGUAGGGGGCAAGCGUUGUCCGGAUUUAUCGGGCGUAAAGAGCGUGUAGGCGGCCAUGUAGGUCCGUUGUGAAAACUCGAGGCUCAACCUCGAGACGCCGAUGGAAACCAUGUGGCUAGAGUCCGGAAGAGGAGAGUGGAAUUCCUGGUGUAGCGGUGAAAUGCGCAGAUAUCAGGAAGAACACCCGUGGCUAAGGCGGCUCUCUAGUACGGUACUGACGCUGAGACGCGAAAGCGUGGGGAGCGAACAGG
rnacentral:rRNA from 1 species